GUGUGCCUUGGCGUCCUGGCGUCAGGACGAACGCUGGCGGCGUGCUUAACACAUGCAAGUCGAACGGGCCUUGCUCUUUUUGGGUGGGGUUAGUGGCGAACGGGUGAGUAACACGUGAGUAACCUGCCCCUCACUUCUGGAUAACCGCUUGAAAGGGUGGCUAAUACGGGGUGUUCUGGCCUGCUCGCAUGGGUGGGUUUGGAAAGAUUCGACCGGUUUUGGUUGUUUUGGUGGGGGAUGGGCUCGCGGCCUAUCAGCUUGUUGGUGGGGUGAUGGCCUGCCAAGGCUUUGACGGGUAGCCGGCCUGAGAGGGUGGGCGGUCACACUGGGACUGAGACACGGCCCAGACUCCUACGGGAGGCAGCAGUGGGGAAUAUUGCACAAUGGGCGGAAGCCUGAUGCAGCGACGCCGCGUGAGGGAUGGAGGCCUUCGGGUUGUGAACCUCUUUCGCCAGUGAAGAAGGUCCUGCUCUUUGUGGUGGGGUUGACGGUAGCUGGGUUAAUGAAGCGCCGGCUAACUACGUG
rnacentral:rRNA from 1 species